GUGGGGAAUAUUGGACAAUGGGCGAAAGCCUGAUCCAGCCAUGCCGCGUGUGUGAAGAAGGCCUUCGGGUUGUAAAGCACUUUAAGCGAGGAGGAAGGUUCGUCACCUAAUACGUGACGGAAUUGACGUUACUCGCAGAAUAAGCACCGGCUAACUCUGUGCCAGCAGCCGCGGUAAUACAGAGGGUGCAAGCGUUAAUCGGAAUUACUGGGCGUAAAGCGCGCGUAGGCGGUUGUGUAAGUUGGAUGUGAAAUCCCCGGGCUUAACCUGGGCACUGCAUUCAAAACUGCACGGCUAGAGUAUUGGAGAGGAAGGUAGAAUUCCAGGUGUAGCGGUGAAAUGCGUAGAGAUCUGGAGGAAUACCGAUGGCGAAGGCAGCCUUCUGGCCAAAUACUGACGCUGAGGUGCGAAAGCAUGGGGAGCAAACAGGAUUAGAAACCCGAGUAGUCC
rnacentral:rRNA from 1 species